CACGUACGUGCACCAAAAUCAGAUCAACAAAAUCCUGCAAGAAUGGCAGCCAGGAGAGAUCAGGCCGUAGUAAACAGAGUGGUAAUCUUUAUAUUAGGACAUGAUGUGCCCCCCCCAGUCAAAGCAUGAUGCAUCUUUCUCAUCAUGAACUUGGUUUGUAGAACAUACCCCACAAACAAAGUCAACAGACAAAACCAUCUUGUGAUUGGAUUUUAAUCCAAUUGCAUUAUUAUUCAGGCCUCCCAUUGGCCAUUCAUUACUCUCACAUGGAGCCUGUGUGGGUUGUUAUCACCCAAUCAGGCUCCAGACUGUAUUCUGGAGAGCAUGCUUUCGUUUGCAUCCUUUAAACCCUGUGAGCCUUCCCUCUCUCUGCGCCCGCCAACGGAAUACCUAAUUCCAAAGUAAACUGAUUGCUCUCUCCAACAAGAUUACGCUGUGAUGAUGUUAGCCAAAUGAGACCGCCAUUCAGAUGCAACCAGGGCGAGCGAGGAUGCUUACCGCAAGAUGACUGAUCAGCAUGUUAAGAGAAACAAGGUUGUGGAGAAAAAAAAAAGAAAAAGAAAAAAAAAAAAGAGGGAUAGAAAUCGAAAGGAGUGUGUGAGAGAGUUGUGUGCGUGGGGGUAAGCAGAAAUGUAAUUUGCUUCUCACCUCAGGCGACUGGGCUCUGAGGCCAGUAAAUAUGCAAACAAGCUGAGCCUGGCCAUCAAUAUGAAGACCCUAGAUGAUUACUAAUCUCCACCGCAGUGGUAGAUUGAGGUCUGUUCGGCAGCGCCAUGCAACAUGAGGGUGGGGGGCUGGAGAGUAGGGAGGUUAGAGUCCAGACUGCAUCUCCAUGUCGGCCCCCCCUCCCUGCAUUAUGCACAAUUCUGAGUUAUGGGUAUAGUUGACCUUCAUUUUCAGAAGUAAUAUACUAUUGAUGAUGCAUACAAAUCAGCGGCUCAGCAGCAGUGAAGGUAUAGGUGCCUUAAACCCGCGGUGCAAAUAUUUAAC